UACGUAGGGUCCGAGCGUUGUCCGGAAUUAUUGGGCGUAAAGAGCUCGUAGGCGGUUUGUCACGUCGGAUGUGAAAACCCGAGGCUUAACCUCGGGCCUGCAUUCGAUACGGGCUGACUAGAGUUCGGUAGGGGAGACUGGAAUUCCUGGUGUAGCGGUGAAAUGCGCAGAUAUCAGGAGGAACACCGGUGGCGAAGGCGGGUCUCUGGGCCGAUACUGACGCUGAGGAGCGAAAGCGUGGGGAGCGAACAGG
rnacentral:rRNA from 1 species